AUGAUCACCUUAUAUAUGUUUAGAGCAAUAAUGCAAAAAUAUACCGCAAAAUAUUAAACUAAACAUACAACCUUAUAUCAUGAAUAAACAAAUGAGUAGAACAGAAAUUGUAUAUAACAAAUACCAAAAGUUAUACAUAUCUUUAAUAUAUAGACUUCUUCAUAAAUAAGUCACAUCAUAAAGAAAAUUAUUAAGUAAAACUAUAUUUCAUUAUUUUCAUUAAAAUAAAUAAAUAAAUAAAUUCGACCCCGCAUGGGGGGCCACACAUGGCAACCCCACAGUCGGUUGCAAUCUACAACCCUUCUUUUUUUUUUUCUUUUUUUCUUUUUUUUUUGGAUUGCCACCUAGGCAGCCCUAUUAAGGGCUGCCUAGUGCGGCCCUAAAGGGGGCCGCUUUAUGCGGCCCUUUGUGGGCCGCGCCAGGUGCGCCUAGGUGGCGUGGUGGCGCGAGUCUACCACGCCGCCCGAUCGUCCUUAUUAUUAUUAUUAUUUUUUUUUUUUUUUUUUUGCUUCUUGAUCGCUCAAUGCCAUCAGAUUGGUGACGAUCGGAUCGGUGACGUCGUUCUUCCGAAUGCCGGUCUCAAUUAAGAUCGGCCGACGUUACCAAUAAUGCAAACCAUCGACGAAUUUAUUUAUUUAUUUACAGAAAACGAAAAUCAAACUAAAUCCGAAAAGAAACAAAAAUCCAACAAAAGGUUCGGCUCUGAUACCACAUGUUAGAAACUUUAUGAGAAAAUAGAUCGUGCCUUCUGCCAUGAUUUCGAUUUCUGUACCCGAUUUGUAAGCGGCGAUUCUUGCUCGUGGUUCGUCCUCGUUCGUGAUCUGCAAGAAGACGGGACGUUUCAAGUCUAAUUCCCUUAUCCCCGGAGAUGGAGCCGUCACAGACUAUUGGAUUAGGGUCAGACCGGGACUCCCGUAUGUUACAUAUUUAUAUAUAACUUGAUAUAAGGAUGUUAAAUCACGUCCGUCCAUCAAGGACGUGUCCAGAUACAUCAUAACCGUAAGAGCUAAAAUAUCUUUAUAGAUCGACUUAAAUAAAUUGACCGUAUCUUUAUGGAUCGCCUUGAAUAUAUCACGUGGGCCACAUCCAACAAAAAGUGUUACCCCAUAAGUAAAAAAUGAAAGAAUUAAAAAAAACAGAGAACGCAUGUAAUAAUAUAUGGUAUACUCACGUAUGCAAUAACUUCUUCUCAUUCUUCUUAUAAUUUGUGUUGCUUCUUUAUGUAAUAUACAUACUCUUAUUGAUUUACUGUGGUGGUGUUCUUCCUAAUUUACUAUGGAGUGUUAUGACUGUUGUGAUGAUUGCUUAAGAACAUUAUUUUUGUUUGCUUCAAGUGUCAUGUCUAUUGUAUUUAUUUACUUCUUUACUUAUUACUUUUCUUUUCUCUUUUUUUCCCUUUUACCCUUCUACGUAGGUGCUGCUUCUUUUGCUAUCGCUUUUGUCACUUAUGUUGCUUCAAAACCAAGUACGUAUUCUCCAUAUUUUUCUUACGUUUUGUCUUUUUAAUAGUUAUAUACUUUCAUAAAAUUCGCAUCGCUUGGGUUGUAUACUAUGUGCCUUUUCCACUUAAUUACUCUUCUCUUUGCCUUUCAUCCAUUGUGGAUGAAAAGUAUUUGAUACAUUUGCUAAAUUCUUAAGGACCUCUCAUUGUUAGUUCAUGGGAAUAGACGAACAAAUUUGAUUAAACAGAUCUCUACAAGUGUGUCUUACUGAAUCAGUGUCCUACUAAUUGACAAUUAUUAUGCCAUUAUUUUUUUGGGUAUAUUCUGAAAUUCAGCGAGAGUGCUCUGUGAAUUUGUCUUCACCCAAAAAAAAAAAAAAACAACGUUCCAUCAACAUAGUGUAUGCCUUAGGCUACUACGGAAUUUCGAACAAGUCUCCUGCCAUUUCAAAUAUGAUUCAACACAAACCGACAUCCCACAAUUUCAAACGUGAAUAAGUCCAGGUCAGCCUCUUGUCAUUUUUAACAUGACCAUUAGGAGGCAGAAUGUUAGUGCCUUUAAGCUAAUGCUGUCCUCAUGCGAUUUGCACUGCGUGUCCAUAGGCUGUUCAUAAUUCCUCAUUCAUCAUUUACAAAGCCCAAACCUGGCUCAUUUAUUCUUUUAGUAUGGCUUGAACCAAAACUUUCUUCUCCCAAGUCUAAUCCAGUUUCAAGAAUGAGCCCAGUCUAAUAUUAAAACACCCUCAAAACAGGGAAUAUUUGCUAGUGAUAAUAUUUAAGUCCACUAAUUAGAAUUUUACUUCCAAAUUUUUGUGAAUAUAUGCAUUUUGGUUACUAUUUUUCUCUGCAUGUGGAUUUUUGCAAAACAUCGUGCAUGAAAGAAAACAGCAUUCCUCGAAAAUUUUUGCUGCAACCUUCCCCUGUUCUUAGGCUACAUGUAAUUUGUAGGGGGUAUCUCGAACUAUAUUGUGAUGCUACUUCCAUAAUUGAUGCCUACAGUUCACUCAGUUGUUUAAGAUUAUUACACAUGUGAAUUAGAUGUAAAAUACUUCAAAAUCUGCUGCUAAAGCACAUUAAACUAGUGUCAUUAUAAAUGAUGUGGAGAGAUUUUGACCUAACCUUAUCAUUCUUGCAACAUUUUUUUAUUCUUCUAAUGACUCGGCGACUUAUAUUUUAUUAU
rnacentral:lncRNA from 1 species